UGGGGAAUUUUGGACAAUGGGGGAAACCCUGAUCCAGCCAUCCCGCGUGUGCGAUGAAGGCCUUCGGGUUGUAAAGCACUUUUGGCAGGAAAGAAACGUCAUGGGUUAAUACCCCGUGAAACUGACGGUACCUGCAGAAUAAGCACCGGCUAACUACGUGCCAGCAGCCGCGGUAAUACGUAGGGUGCAAGCGUUAAUCGGAAUUACUGGGCGUAAAGCGUGCGCAGGCGGUUCGGAAAGAAAGAUGUGAAAUCCCAGAGCUCAACAUUGGAACUGCAUUUUUAACUACCGGGCUGGAGUGUGUCAGAGGGAGGUGGAAUUCCGCGUGUAGCAGUGAAAUGCGUAGAUAUGCGGAGGAACACCGAUGGCGAAGGCAGCCUCCAGGGAUAACACUGACGCUCAUGCACGAAAGCGUGGGGAGCAAACAGG
rnacentral:rRNA from 1 species